rnacentral:rRNA from 1 species
GAUGAACGCUGGCGGCGUGCCUAAUACAUGCAAGUCGAGCGAACAGACGAUAAGCUUGCUCCCUUGCCGUUAGCGGCGGACGGGCGAGUAACACGUGGAUCACCUUCCUCUAUUACUGGGAUAACUACGGGAAACCGGUUCCAAUACUGGAUAAUAUGAUGUACCGGAUGGUUCAAUAGUUAUUGACAGUCUUGCCGUCACAAAUAGCUGGAUCCGCGUCGCAUUAGCUAGUUGGUAAGGUAACGGCUUACCAAGGCUACGAUGCGUAGCCGACAUGAGAGGGUGAUCGGCCACACUGGAACUGAGACACGGUCCAGACUCCUACGGGAGGCAGCAGUAGGGAAUCUUAGACAAUGGGCGAAAGCCUGACGCAGCAACACCGCGUGAGUGAAGAAGGUCUUCGGAUCGUAAAACUCUGUUAUUAGGGAAGAACAGAUGUGGAUGUAACCAUGCACGUUUUGACGGUACCUAAAGAGAAAGCAACGGCUAACUUCGUG